CGGAACUAACUAGAAGGAAGAAGAUGGCCGGGUGAGAAAGGACACAUGCUCCAAACAUAAUCAUAGCAGCCAUUUCCAUUCAAAGCACAAAAUACAACGCCUUACUUCCUUUGUGAUGGGAACUGAGAGGUCACAGCGCGCGGUGCAGGCACAGCACAAUCUGCACCCUUACCGCACACCAAGGGUAAGGAGCAAGGAUGAAGCUGACUGAAUUCAAGCGGAGUCCGGCGCACUUAUCCAGCUGUCUUGACUAUGAGCAGGGAAGGGAUUUCAUGAAGAUAUGCUGAAGCCACGAGAGGGGGAGGAAGCAUGAGAAGAACCUGUUUCUGUCACGGGCUGGGAUCCCGCCCGGCACAACAGGUCCUUCCAAACUCUGUCCCCAGCGCUGCAAUCUCCCCCGCUAAACAGUAUGACCGAGGAGAGAGAAAUUUCUUUGAGCUCUUAGAAGGAAGGGGAAUACAUACAUAUGUUAAUAUAAGCUACUGUUUUUAUUACUGAACGUCAAUUAAAAGUAAAUCCCUUGGCAUGUUGACUGCAAACACGGCUUAAUAUAUCGAGUCAUCACACCCUGGCCAGAAAUAGCCUACACUCAGGUUAUGAAGUCAACAGUACAACUAAUUGUCCCCACAGUUCUUGCUUUGAAAUGUAUAGAAAUGAACCCUCUUUUUAUGGAAAUCUUAUAAUUAGAUGUCUUCUACACUGUUGGUUCCAUUAGAAACAAAAAUUGCCCAGCUAGUUGAAGAAAGAAAAAAAAAAAGCUUGUUUUGGGUUGGAGAAUCUACUAAGGUUAAAUAAUGAGGCAAAUGUUACUUUUGUAACAAGUCUGAGACUCACAGUGGAAUUUUCCAAUCAUUCUUGUACAAGGAUAAACUUUAACCCAAGACUGUCAACCUGGGACUAUCUCUAGACCUCACCUGGAUAGAACUUUCUGCUUCCAUUAGUAUGAAUGCGCCUGAGUCUGGGGGUUCCACAGGAUGCUCCGGCCGUCCAUGAACACAGAUUUUCUGCGGGGCUACUGCAGGGACUGCGCCAGAUGAUGAGGAGGCAGAGAUGAAGAAGAAAACACAAGCCUCGCUUUCCAAGAAGCCUGCAGGGUUUACUAUGAUGAUUGAGACGGAAACCAACCACUACCAUACCGAGUGUGAGUGCUGCUCUGUGCAGAGCACAGAAAAGGAAUACUUUCCUUAGAUAGGUAAUAUAGAGGAACAGAAAACUUCCAGAGGGCAAGAGGAAAAUUUCAGCCCCGUGACGGUGCAAGAAAAGAAAACAUAAACAUGUGAAAGGGAAGAGGUACGAGAAGCCUUGUCAUGGCUAAGGAUAUCAAGUUGUGAGUAGGGGGCCCUUGCUGGCUCAGCCAGAGGAGUGUGCAAUCUUGAUCUUGUGGUCAUCAGUUCAAGCCCCACGUUGGGUGUAGAGAUGACUU